rnacentral:rRNA from 1 species
UCAUGGCUCAGAUUGAACGCUGGCGGCAUGCCUUACACAUGCAAGUCGAACGGCAGCACGGGAGCAAUCCUGGUGGCGAGUGGGCGAAACGGGUGAGUAAUAUAUCGGAACGUGCCCAGUCGUGGGGGAUAACGUAGCGAAAGCUACGCUAAUACCGCAUACGAUCUAUGGAUGAAAGCGGGGGAUCGCAAGACCUCGCGCGAUUGGAGCGGCCGAUAUCAGAUUAGGUAGUUGGUGAGGUAAAGGCCUACCAAGGCGACGAUCCAUAGCUGGUCUGAGAGGAUGAUCAGCCACACUGGGACUGAGACACGGCCCAGACUCCUACGGGAGGCAGCAGUGGGGAAUAUUGGACAAUGGGCGAAAGCCUGAUCCCAGCAAUGCCGCGUGAGUGAUGAAGGCCUUAGGGUUGUAAAGCUCUUUUACCCGAGAUGAUAAUGACAGUAUCGGGAGAAUAAGCUCCGGCUAACUCCGUG